GCCAAUUCAGUCGGCAGAGCGCGCGCUUCUCAAGCACGUGGCCGCGGGUUCGAGCUCCGCCCGAGGUG
rnacentral:tRNA from 1 species